UGGCGGCGAUAGCGCGGUGGUCCCACCUGACCCCAUGCCGAACUCAGAAGUGAAACGCCGUAGCGCCGAUGGUAGUGUGGGGCUUCCCCAUGUGAGAGUAGGGAACUGCCAGGCA
rnacentral:rRNA from 5 species